CCUAAGAAAACUUUAUAAGUUUAGGUCUUUUAAACCUAAAAUAGUAGAACAUCUACUCUCAGGA
rnacentral:tRNA from 1 species